AACAAAAAAGUCCACGCCCACGCCUGCUCGUCCACCACUUCCUCGGUCCCCAACCUCCCCCCGGUCCAGCGUCGUCGAGGUCUCGACCCCCGCCACAACCGCCGCGCCGCCGGCCCAGCUUCCGACGCGCCGCCGUACCGGCUUCUCACCACCUCCCCUCGAUGCGCCGCUCCGCCUCCACCAAGAUCCUAUCGUAGCCCCACCUCCAACAGCCCCGCCGACGACCGGAUCCCUGCUUCCCGACGAGCUCCGGUGCCACCUCAACGAAGGUCACGGCCUUCAACCCGCUCCCAGCGCGCUACCGCCACCGAAACCUUCGGCCACCAUGGGCACCGCCGUCGCGCCCUGCCUUCUUCCUGCCACCGCGCCUCCACAUCGCCUCCACCCCGCCGCCGCCGGGGAACAGGGCGGUCGCCAACCGCACCUGGAUCUGGGCGCGUGCCCCUAGCUUCUUGCCUCGCCCGUGCCAUGCAGGCCUCCCCCGCCGUUGCCCGAAGUUCAAAUGUCAUAGCAGCGGACGGACGGAUUCGACACGCCGUCGUUGGAUAUUCUCUGUUGUCGCUAGAUCGGUCGCCGGUGCAUCACCUCGGUCAAGCUCUUCUCUACCUCAUGUGCGUCCAUGGGGCUCGCUCCCAGAACUUGGCCAUUUUUGGACGAGGAAUCAAGCGCGCCCUUGCUGCUCUGUUUGGAUCUACUCGGUUGCUGGUGUUUGCUUCGAGGCUACUCACACCCGAGCUCCCACUAGCCACCCAAUCUCAUUCCCCGCAGCGGAUGUCGCCGACCUCGGCUAGUGGUUGCCGGAUUUUGUGUUUCUUCUGUACAAAACUGAUGCAUUUCUUCUCUCGUUUCCGCAGGUUUGUUAACUGAACUUUACCAUCUCGACUGAUUGAACUGCACAUAACUUAACUGUCUAGGCUGCAAGGGUGUCACGCGGAGGUGGCUCGAGCCGGCGGGAGAUGCAGCAGUUCGACGCAGCCCCUCCACGCCGUUCAACUCCUGUAGCCAGCUGGCUCAAAGCCAACAGUGAGCUCCUACUUCGACUCACUACGCACGUAGCUUUUGGGCAUGUGUCGAUGUGUGGCUGAAGCUCUUUCUUUCUCUCCACAGUCUCAUGUGCUGAUGCUACCCUCUCAGUCUCUCUUAUCUCAGUUUGGCACACCCAUGUUUUUUGUCACUCUUAAAAUUGGAAGUAGAGACGCUUAACCAGAAAGCCAAUCUUUAUGUAUUCUGAAUGUGAACCGGGUGCACUCUAUGUGUUUGCUAUUAUGCGUGCUACAACUGAAGCAUUUUUGUGCUUAGCUCUUUUUUUGUUCUGAUGAAGCAAGUACUAGUUGCUCCUGCCAUGCUACCUUUGGUCGAGAGCACAUAGCUCAGUAGACAGAGCUUGACAAGAUAGAAAUGCAACAUGUGGUGCAGAGAAGGCCACAUCUCUCACGUGGCACACAUUUUCUUUUUUCUUUUUGUGUGUAGAAAGGGUGUUUAGGCAUACCACCACAUUUAGGGAUCCAUUUUCAGUCUCCCCCACCAUGCUCCUGCAGGUCAACUGCGCCGCCACACGAAGUUCACCGGCCAUAGCUGCGGACGGACGAAAUUCCAACUCUACCGCAACCCCUCAAGAUCCACGGUGGCCAAAGAUGGCGCUCCACAGCUGUUCGGUGUAAUGCCUAAGGAUCAAACAAUGUCUCUCUCACUUUUGUUUUUGGAAAGACCUGCCUAUCAUCUUGCCGCUGCUGCGUUGGAGUGGCUCCAUCUGCAGAUGGGGGAGGUCUCGACCUGCAGCUGGGAGAAAUCUCGACCCGCACCUGGUCGCGCGCGCCACUGCCACUUAGGUCGACCACCUACAGCAGGCGCCGCAGCGCCUCAACCGUUAAACUAUGGCACCUCAGCAGUUCAAUGUAUAUUGGAGAAGAAGAAAAAACAACAGUAGGUUCAAAUGUUGUGUUUUGUGAUUGUUGUAGACUUGCAGCAAAUUAGAGGUGGUUUCAAAGAAAAAAUUGUUCCCUCUGAUGGAGCACCUGGCCGUUCCCUUUGCUUUGUUUUGUUUUGCAAAUUGCUAGUUGGCCGUAUAGCUUCAGUAGUGGUAUAAUGCUUUAGGUUCCUGACUAUUGGUCUUGAUGUUUGUCCGUACUUGAGGUUCAGCUCGCUAAUAUAUACGGGAGCAGUUUGGAUUUGGUA